CCGACGUCGACAGCAUGACGCGCGCAUGAAGAUUGUCAGACGCAGACGCAACCGCCAACGAACACAGUCAAGUCAGUGACGCUAACGCUACUGCUGACGCUGAUACGACGUUAAGCUGUUGAUUCCCCGCCGACCCGUUGUCUACUCGGCGAAAUCGAAACCACUUUGGGCUACACACCUGCGAUAGACUAUUUCAGACUGAGACUGACUGAAAUUCUCACACAUCGUUUACGGCAUGUAGCUGGCUGAAUGGGAGGCUUGCCCGCUGUUUAAAGCUGCUCGAAGCUCCUCAGCUGAGCUCGAAGUUGAGCCGCAGCUACUUAAUAAUCUAGGCUGGCUUUAUUGUUAACACACACA